rnacentral:rRNA from 1 species
GACGAACGCUGGCGGCGUGCCUAAUACAUGCAAGUCGAACGCAGUGGGGACGGGUGAGGAACACGUGGGUAACCUCCCAUCAGAGGGGAUAACACUUGGAAACAGGUGCUAAACCGAUACUGAUGGAUGGACCCGCGGUGCAUUAGCUAGUUGGUGAGGUAACGGCUCACCAAGGUCACGAUGCAUAGCCUGCCUGGUAGGGUGAGCAGCCACACUGGUACGGAGACACGGCCCAGACUCCUACGGGAGGCAGCAGUGGGGAAUCUUCGGCAAUGGACGAAAGUCUGACCGAGCCACGCCGCGUGAGUGAAGAAGGUUUUCGGAUCGUAAAACUCUGUUGUUGGAGAAGCGGUAUCUAACCAGUAAGCCACGGCUAACUACGUGCCAGCAGCCGCGGUAAUAC